UACAGAGGUCUCAAGCAUUGUUCGGAUUCAUUGGGCGUAAAGGGUGUGUAGGUGGCGCGCUAAGUCGGGUGUGAAAUUUCGGAGCUUAACUCCGAAACUGCAUUCGAUACUGGCGUGCUUGAGGACUGGAGAGGAGACUGGAAUUCAUGGUGUAGCAGUGAAAAUGCGUAGAGAUCAUGAGGAAGACCAGUGGCGAAGGCGGGUCUCUGGACAGUUCCUGACACUGAGACACGAAGGCCAGGGGGAGCAAAACGGGGAUUAGAAA
rnacentral:rRNA from 1 species